rnacentral:SRP_RNA from 1 species
GCUGGGCGUGGUGGUGCGCGCCUGUAAUCCCAUCUACUCGGGAGGCUGAGGCAGGAGAAUCGCUUGAACCCAGGAGGUGGAGGUUGGAGUGAGCCAAGAUUGUGCUACUGCAGUCCAGCCUGGGUGACAGAGCGAGACUCUGUCUCAA